AUGCUGGCUUCAACAGCACAUAAACUAAAAUUGGAAUGAUACAGAGAAGAUUAACACGGCCACUGUGUAAGGAUGCCACACAAAUUUGUGAAGUACUCCAUAUUUCC